AUGAGUUUAUUAUGCUGGAACUGUCAUGGGGCUGGCAAACCAGUGACAGUUCGUGAGCUUCGCGAUCUCACGAGGCAACUUGCCCCGUCUUUAGUUUGUAUUGUUGAAACCCUAAUAGAGGGCUCCCGAGUGGAGAAUAUGGUAGACUCUUUAGGCUAUGAAAAAAGCUUUGCAGUGAGUAGCUCUGGCAGAAGUGGUGGCCUAGGAAUAUUUGGAACGAGAAAAUAA
rnacentral:rRNA from 1 species